rnacentral:lncRNA from 1 species
GCAGAUGUCAAAGCAUGCAGAUAUAGGCACUUGCCUUUAAAUACCCAGGGCUUUUUGUCCACCACACAUUUCAAGUUUUGCUCCAAAGGCUUGUUCUUUACUCAGUAUUUUGGGACUAUGCUGAAAAAGAUGACAAUCCUCUCAGCACUGCUGAUUCUGAUCUUGGCUGAUCAACUAAAGGCACAAGGUACCUCUGUUACCCCAGUGCUUGAGGCAACAAGCGUGGAGCAAAGCAGUGACCCUAGCACAGAACCAAGCACAGAGCUGCCCCCGGACUACAGUGGAGACUCACACAAGGAGAAUGGCACAGAGCAAGUUGGGAACAAUGGAGUACAAGAAGGUGAACAGACUUUUUGGGAGCUGAGUGGAGAGUCAAGUGCUGAGUCUACCCCUAAGCCUAGUGUGGAGCCAAGCCAAGAACCGACCCAGGAGUCACCCACUGAACUGUAUGAGUAAAUUGCAACAUUAAAACUUGAUGGAAAAGCAACACCCACUUACCUAUAGAGGUGAUUUCACCACCAAGAACACAUACAAGGUGCCUGUUGCAAGCCAGAUGGCAGAGCUAUUCCCAGAACAUCUUGCAGGAAAAGUGUAACCAUAGCCUUUUGUUCCAGAAUUCCAUCUAAUUCUUGCUUACUUUACCAGAUUAAUUAGAUAACAGAUGACCUGUGCUGUUUUGCUUCCAUAAUAACCUGAAAUAAAGAAUGUCAUCGCAAGUACA